rnacentral:rRNA from 1 species
CCUACGGGAGGCAGCCGUGGGGAAUAUUGGGCAAUGGGCGCAAGCCUGACCCAGCAACGCCGCGUGAAGGAAGAAGGCUUUCGGGUUGUAAACUUCUUUUAUCAGGGACGAAGCAAGUGACGGUACCUGAGGAAUAAGCCACGGCUAACUACGUGCCAGCAGCCGCGGUAAUACGUAGGUGGCAAGCGUUAUCCGGAUGUACUGGGUGUAAAGGGCGUGUAGGCGGGGACGCAAUUCAGAGGUGAAAACCACGGGCUCAACCUGUGGCCUGCAUUUGAAACUGUGUGUCUUGAGUACUGGAGAGGCAGACGGAAUGCGUAGUGUAGCGGUGAAAUGCGUAGAUAUUAGGAGGAACACCAGUGGCGAAGGCGGUCUGCUGGACAGCAACUGACGCUGAGGCGCGAAAGCGUGGGGAGCAAACAGGAUUAGAUACCCUUGUAGUC